UUUUUAAAAAGUACAAAUUUUACUGGAACCAUACAGAGAAGGUUAGCAUGGCCCCUGCGCAAGGAUGACACGCAAAUUCGUGAAGCGUUCCAUAUUUUU
rnacentral:snRNA from 1 species